rnacentral:rRNA from 1 species
CCCUUAGAUGUUCUGGGCCGCACGCGCGCUACACUGAUGCAUUCAACGAGUUUCUUCCUGGUCCGAGAGGAAUGGGUAACCUUUUGAAAGUGCAUCGUGAUAGGGAUAGACUAUUGCAAUUAUUGGUCUUCAACGAGGAAUUCCUAGUAGACGUAGUUCAUCAGACUGCAUCGAUUACGUCCCUGCCAUUUGUACACACCGCCCGUCGCUCCUACCGAUUGAAUGCUCAGGUGAGCCAUUCGGACUUUCAUCAUGCUGGUUUCCAGUUUUGAUGAAGGAAAGUCUUGCGAACCUUAUCAUUUAGAGGAAGGAGAAGUCGUAACA